rfam:Otolemur garnettii contig184945, whole genome shotgun sequence.
GCCAGAUGCGAUGUUGCAUGCCUGUAGUCACAGCUACUCCGGAGGCUAAGACAGGAGGAUCACUUGAGUUCAGGAGUUCUGGGCUGUAGUGUGCUAUGCCAAUAAGGUGUUCGCACUAAGUUCAGCAUCAAUAUGGUGACCUCCUGGGAGUGGGGACCCACCAGGUUGCCUAAGGAGGGGUAAACCUGCCCAGGUCAGAAACAGAGCAGGUCAAAACUCCCAUGCUGAUCAGUAGUGGGAUCACACCUGUGAAUAGCCAUUGCACUCCAGCCUGGGCAACGUAGCAAAACCCCAUCUCUA